GAUCAUUAUUACUCACUCACGCCGCUCACACAAGGCUCACACGCAACCCGGGAUCAAACUGACAGAUGAUCGAGGCAACAGUGUAACAGCUUCUAUAUUCAUAUAAACUUACUUUAUCAAAUCAUUAUUAUUAGGAUAUUUAUGAGAAUAUGUCUAUUCAUGGAUAGACAAUCAUUUAGGUUUUAAUAUCAUCCCACAUGAUGGUUAGUGUUUCUAUUGUAUGAAACCGUUCAAAAAAAAAAAAAAAGUUAGCAGCAACAGUAAACUACACGUACCGUGAGGCUUUGCGCGUUGACGUUGGCUGAGCGCAGCAUGUGCUUCUGUGCUCUGCUCAAACUAUGGCUCAGUGCUGCUCAGGCUCUUCACGAGAGCACAUCGGUCCUGUAACAGAGACGCUUCACUUGUGGCAGAUCUGAUGGAGGGACCAGCACCGAACUGGACCCUGAACGAGAAGUCAACUUCUUUGAGUACUCAUUAGAGAUAAUCAUUUUUGUUUACGCGCGGAUUCUGUGGACGCACCAAGGAGGAUUAACUACUGACAGAACAUCACUGACCCGCGUGAAGUUAUUAUUAUUUGUCAAAAACAACAACAACAACAAAACAAAACAAAAAGUGAUCACAAUGGCAACCGCCGCAGGAUUCUACAGUCGGCCUGUGUGUGCGGCUCGUCCUGUUGGGUUUAAGGAAAUACUUUGUCUCACGCGGGACGAGCGGUGUCUCUGUCUCUGUCUCCGGCUGCCCAGCGUCUGUCGCUGGACAAGCAGCGUGUCGGACAGACGAGUCUCUUGGGGGAAGUUCACGCGUGUUCAUUUGCAGCCCAGUGUUACAGAGGGGCUCUGAUAUUGGUUUUGGAGAUGCGUCGAUUGUGGCACACGAGAAGGAAUAUCCUGGAAUAUAUUUUGGACGUGAUGCUCGGCAGAUGUUCAGCAAUCUUCGGAAGAUGACGGCACGCGACAGCUCAUCAAACAGUGAAGGAAUCCAAAUUCCUGGAAUUAGACGUCAACCUUUACUUGCUUCCCAGGAAUAUUCUGAUGAUCUCAGAUGAGCACUGAGAAGAGGCUGACUAAUGGAAACCCGAGCUCAAGAAACUCAACAGGAUCAUACUAAAUCCUGGCGUUGGACGGCAGACCAGCAUCCCCUGCAGCAGAUGUUUGCUCCUGGCAUAGCUGCUGACAACAGCAGCUCCAUCACUGACAACCUUGGACGUGGAGAAGCUCUGACAUAAUCUCAGCAGGACAGCAGAGAAGAGGGUAUUCUGCCACUCAGACUUUAGUCAGUCCCAUUUGUGGAGAUGCUUGAUGAAUGUGCAUUAACCAACGUUACUGGUAAUGGAUCUACAUAGUAUGUGACUUUGUCUAAAUGGAGCUGGGAUUAAUAUUUCCAAUUUUCCAGUAGCCAGUGCUUUUUCACGCUGUUCAAACACGGUACUGUCGUUGUGACAUUUACUGUGUUAUUCUGGGACAAGAAUCAACAAGUGCUGGAUCUGUAAAUGGAAAAUAAUCAGACGGUACUUUCCUGUUUUCAGACUAUAUUUGCAAAGUGCCCUUUUGCUUACACCAAAGCAGGCGUGCACACAAGGUUUAUCUUGUGAAAAGAACAACAAAUAUCUCCUGUGGUGUAAAACAAAUUGAUACUCCUUCAACCAAGAUUCCGCAGAUGCAUUUCUGCACCUUAAUCAUCUGACAUCUUCUAAUGACAAAGAAUCCAUUAUCGGCGCAGUGUUAAUGAAUGCAAACCAAAAAAACUCUCCUACCAACACUGCAUUUCAGUGUGACACAUUGGCCCUCUGUGUGUGGUUAAUGAUCCUGUCAGUAUUCUUAUUCUGAUGAUGAUUUAUGGCUCCUCAACUCUUGUGUCUUUGAAAUCCUUAUGUGCAGAAAUAAAAACACAAUAUCUAA